UACGUAGGGUGCGAGCGUUAUUCGGAUUCACUGGGCGUAAAGGGUGCGCAGGCGGCCAGGUGUGUUAGGCGUGAAAGCCUGAGGCUUAACCUCAGAAUUGCACCUAAAACUACAUGGCUAGAGCAUUGGAGAGGGUAGCGGAAUUCACGGUGUAGCAGUGAAAUGCGUAGAUAUCGUGAGGAACACCAGAGGCGAAGGCGGCUACCUGGACAAUUGCUGACGCUGAAGCACGAAGGCCAGGGGAGCAAACGGG
rnacentral:rRNA from 1 species